UCCCGUUUAGCUCAGUUGGUAGAGCGCGUCACUAGUAACUCUCUAAAGAGAUUCUAUGACGAGGUCAGUCGUUCGAGUCGGCUAAUGGGAA